UACGUAGGGUGCAAGCGUUGUCCGGAAUUAUUGGGCGUAAAGAGCUCGUAGGCGGUCUGUUGCGUCUGCUGUGAAAACUCGGGGCUUAACCCCGGGCCUGCAGUGGGUACGGGCAGACUAGAGUGCGGUAGGGGAGACUGGAAUUCCUGGUGUAGCGGUGAAAUGCGCAGAUAUCAGGAGGAACACCGGUGGCGAAGGCGGGUCUCUGGGCCGUAACUGACGCUGAGGAGCGAAAGCAUGGGGAGCGAACAGG
rnacentral:rRNA from 1 species